rnacentral:ribozyme from 12 species
AACGUACAACGUAGUACAAAAUAAAAAAUAAAAAAUAGAAAAGUCCAUGUAUGUUUCUUGCCAA